GGCCGAGUCUAACCUCAUUUAGUCUAUUCUUAAUAUUAAUUUUUUCUCCCUCCAUAGAUUCUUUGGUCAAGAAUUGUCUUCGAUUUUUUUUAUUUUGACUUGAUUGAAAUUAAGUGGAUGCAAUGAAAAAAGAAAUUGAUGGGAUCCGCCAGGCACGCGGCUUGGUUCCCUCCAGGCAGUACCGUAGGGGACAAGACAACUUUAUUUUUCCCUGCCAGUCUGCAACGGGUACAACUAU
rnacentral:lncRNA from 1 species